rnacentral:rRNA from 1 species
UACGGAGGGAGCUAGCGUUGUUCGGAAUUACUGGGCGUAAAGGGCGCGUAGGUGGCCUUCUAAGUUGAACGUGAAAUCCCUGGGCUCAACCCAGGAACUGCGUCCAAGACUGGGAGGCUUGAAUCCGGGAGAGGGAUGCGGAAUUCCAGGUGUAGCGGUGAAAUGCGUAGAUAUCUGGAGGAACACCGGUGGCGAAGGCGGCAUCCUGGACCGGUAUUGACACUGAGGAGCGAAAGCGUGGGGAGCGAACAGG